UUACAUAACAUUCCCUAGCCAGCAGACUUUCUCUCGCCAAGUCCCUUUAGCUGCAGGUAUCUCACCACGCUGUGUGGGAGGGAUGCAUCUGUCCCCGACUGACUCUCGGUCAGGAAGGCCAGCCUGGCGGAGCCUUGGCCCUGACCUCUCAGCUGAGGGGGCUGCGGAGGGAGAGGAGCGCCCGCGCUGAACCCCAGCUGGGCAGGGAAGAAACUUCCUCCUUUCCCAGCUCCCAGGAUGAGAUGACCACAACUCACUGUAGAAAAUCCCCGCAGUUCUGCUGACAAGUGGAGUGCGUCAGAAGGUCCCCGGACAGCUUUGCUGGCUCGUCUGCUUCUGGUGCCACUUCCUGCUCUUCUUCAUGAGAAUUAUUUGUAAGGAGACAGUCACAUUAAAAAAAAAGAUUCGAUAAAA